CUCGGCUCCUGUUUCGUUGGUUUGAGUGGCUGAGUAAUGAUUAAUAGAGACAGUUGGGGGCGUUCAUAUUUAAUUGUCAGAGGUGAAAUUCUUGGAUUUAUGAAAGAUGAACCUAUGCGAAAGCAUUCGCCAAGGAUGUUUUCAUUGAUCAAGAACGAAAGUUAAGGGAUCGAAGACGAUCAGAUACCGUCGUAGUCUUAACUAUAAACGAUGCCGACCAAGGAUUGGGAGACGUUACAUGGAUGACUCCCCCAGCACUUUGUGAGAAAUCAUAAGUCUUUGGGUUCCGGGGGGAGUAUGGUCGCAAGGCUGAAACUUAAAGGAAUUGACGGAAGGGCACACCAGGAGUGGAGCCUGCGGCUUAAUUUGACUCAACACGGGGAAACUCAC
rnacentral:rRNA from 1 species